rnacentral:rRNA from 1 species
AGGGCUUGCUCCUCUGACGUUAGCGGCGGACGGGUGAGUAACACGUGGAUAACCUACCUAUAAGACUGGGAUAACUUCGGGAAACCGGAGCUAAUACCGGAUAAUAUAUUGAACCGCAUGGUUCAAUAGUGAAAGACGGUUUUGCUGUCACUUAUAGAUGGAUCCGCGCCGCAUUAGCUAGUUGGUAAGGUAACGGCUUACCAAGGCAACGAUGCGUAGCCGACCUGAGAGGGUGAUCGGCCACACUGGAACUGAGACACGGUCCAGACUCCUACGGGAGGCAGCAGUAGGGAAUCUUCCGCAAUGGGCGAAAGCCUGACGGAGCAACGCCGCGUGAGUGAUGAAGGUCUUCGGAUCGUAAAACUCUGUUAUUAGGGAAGAACAAAUGUGUAAGUAACUAUGCACGUCUUGACGGUACCUAAUCAGAAAGCCACGGCUAACUACGUGCCAGCAGCCGCGGUAAUACGUAGGUGGCAAGCGUUAUCCGGAAUUAUUGGGCGUAAAGCGCGCGUAGGCGGUUUUUUAAGUCUGAUGUGAAAGCCCACGGCUCAACCGUGGAGGGUCAUUGGAAACUGGAAAACUUGAGUGCAGAAGAGGAAAGUGGAAUUCCAUGUGUAGCGGUGAAAUGCGCAGAGAUAUGGAGGAACACCAGUGGCGAAGGCGACUUUCUGGUCUGUAACUGACGCUGAUGUGCGAAAGCGUGGGGAUCAAACAGGAUUAGAUACCCUGGUAGUCCACGCCGUAAACGAUGAGUGCUAAGUGUUAGGGGGGUUUCCGCCCCUUAGUGCUGCAGCUAACGCAUUAAGCACUCCGCCUGGGAGUACGACCGCAAGGUUGAAACUCAAAGGAAUUGACGGGGGACCCGCACAAGCGGUGG